rnacentral:rRNA from 1 species
GAUGAACGCUGGCGGCGUGCCUAAUACAUGCCAGUCGAGCGAACGGACGAGAAGCUUGCUUCUCUGAUGUUAGUGGCGGACGGGUGAGUAACACGUGGAUAACCUACCUAUAAGACUGGGAUAACUUCGGGAAACCGGAGCUAAUACCGGAUAAUAUUUUGAACCGCAUGGUUCAAAAGUGAAAGACGGCCUUGCUGUCACUUAUAGAUGGAUCCGCGCUGCAUUAGCUAGUUGGUAAGGUAACGGCUUACCAAGGCAACGAUGCAUAGCCGACCUGAGAGGGUGAUCGGCCACACUGGAACUGAGACACGGUCCAGACUCCUACGGGAGGCAGCAGUAGGGAAUCUUCCGCAAUGGGCGAAAGCCUGACGGAGCAACGCCGCGUGAGUGAUGAAGGUCUUCGGAUCGUAAAACUCUGUUAUUAGGGAAGAACAUAUGUGUAAGUAACUGUGCACAUCUUGACGGUACCUAAUCAGAAAGCCACGGCUAACUACGUG